rnacentral:rRNA from 1 species
UACGGAGGAUGCGAGCGUUAUCCGGAUUUAUUGGGUUUAAAGGGUGCGUAGGCGGAUCGUUAAGUCAGUGGUCAAAUUGAGGGGCUCAACCCCUUCCCGCCAUUGAAACUGGCAAUCUUGAGUGGAAGAGAAGUAUGCGGAAUGCGUGGUGUAGCGGUGAAAUGCAUAGAUAUCACGCAGAACCCCGAUUGCGAAGGCAGCAUGCCGGCUUCCUACUGACGCUGAAGCACGAAAGCGUGGGGAUCGAACAGG